UUGCUCUUCUUGGAUGAGUUGCGAACGGGUGAGUAACGCGUAGGUAACCUGCCUUGUAGCGGGGGAUAACUAUUGGAAACGAUAGCUAAUACCGCAUAACAAUGGAUGACCCAUGUCAUUUAUUUGAAAGGGGCAAAUGCUCCACUACAAGAUGGACCUGCGUUGUAUUAGCUAGUAGGUGAGGUAACGGCUCACCUAGGCGACGAUACAUAGCCGACCUGAGAGGGUGAUCGGCCACACUGGGACUGAGACACGGCCCAGACUCCUACGGGAGGCAGCAGUAGGGAAUCUUCGGCAAUGGGGGCAACCCUGACCGAGCAACGCCGCGUGAGUGAAGAAGGUUUUCGGAUCGUAAAGCUCUGUUGUAAGUCAAGAACGAGUGUGAGAGUGGAAAGUUCACACUGUGACGGUAGCUUACCAGAAAGGGACGGCUAACUACGUGCCAGCAGCCGCGGUAAUACGUAGGUCCCGAGCGUUGUCCGGAUUUAUUGGGCGUAAAGCGAGCGCAGGCGGUUUGAUAAGUCUGAAGUUAAAGGCUGUGGCUCAACCAUAGUUCGCUUUGGAAACUGUCAAACUUGAGUGCAGAAGGGGAGAGUGGAACUCCAUGUGUAGCGGUGAAAUGCGUAGAUAUAUGGAGGAACACCGGUGGCGAAA
rnacentral:rRNA from 1 species